UUUGUCUCUCUGUUGUUCUCCGGAGAGAGGAGACAGAGCAAAACAGGGCUGAAGUUAUGCUGUAAAAAGCUGUGAACCAGUUAUGAAAAUCACCAGAUCAUACCUAAAACUACUCAAUCUGAAACCCCAGAUAUGUAAGUAGAUCAGAAAAUGUCUAAAAAUAUAAAAUUAGGUUCAUUUCUUUU